CCCUUAGAUGUCCUGGGCCGCACGCGCGUUACACUGAUGCAUUCAACGAGCUUAUAACCUUGGCCGAGAGGCCUGGGCAAUCUUGUUAACGUGCAUCGUGAUAGGGAUAGAUUAUUGAAAUUAUUAAUCUUGAACGAGGAAUUCCUAGUAAACGCAGAUCAUCAAUCUGCAUUGAUUACGUCCCUGCCCUUUGUACACACCGCCCGUCGCACCUACUGAUUGGAUGGUCCGGUGAAGCCUCGGGAUUGUGGUCCUUGCCGCUUUAUUGUGGCGUGACCGCGAGAACUUGUCUAAACCUUAUCAUCUAGAGGAAGGUGAAGUCGUAACA
rnacentral:rRNA from 1 species